AUAACAUCACUUUUAGAACAGAUGAUUUGCUGUUAUACGGCACUAUGCAUAAUAAGGGACAUAACUUAAAUUACAUUUGGGACGUUUUAAAAUGGGUUAAAAAGCAGUAGCAGUUUAGCAAGACGAUUUUAUAAUAACAACCCUGCCGAUUAACAACACAAAAUCGGUCGCGCUGCACAUGCGUCAUUUUUGACCUAGCGCCUUGACGUGACAUCCGAGCAGAGCAGGGCAGUGUACAGGGAAGCAUAAAGUGCCUUAGACAGAAUCAGUGUCACCAACUACACAGGAAAGUAUGAGCAAGAUGGACAAAAGCAGUUCCUCUGGAUGUACACAGGAGGAAAACGUCCUUCAACUGGAAAGACAUGGUCAUGUUCCUUGAGGGAGAGGACUGCUAGCAUUUAAAGUACGAUGUUUGGUGGGACAGUGGCCAACUCCGGAUCCCAGAGACAUAGCCGAGUAUGUGCAGGAUACGGAGGACAUGACAGUAGACAAACGAUCAGCAUACACAUUCAUUCAUAUCUACCUUCUCCCUUUGAAAUGUAUUGGAAGCCAUGUAAACACGUCUAAACAGUGAUUUCAUAGUGGCAGGUUAUUGUUGUUCAGUGUGUUAUGCAUGUAUGCACUUUGCCCUGGAUGUGGCUAACUAUGCUAGAAUGCUGUACCUAAAAGACAACUUCUAGUUGUUACCACACACUUUUAAAUUUAAGCAGACACACUUAUCCAGAGUGACUUACAGUAGGGAGUGCAUACAUUUUUCAUCAUUUUUCCUAACUGGUCCCCGGUGGUAAUCGAACCCACAACCCUGGAGUUGCAAGCACCAUGCUUUACCAACUAGGCAUUGACCCAAAUGUUCUCCAUAAAAACAAAAAGAGAGAAAAAAACUAAAAGGUUGACAGUAGAGAAACAGAUUGCACAUCGCCCAUAGAUAAACAGGUAUGGAGACAAUAUGACUACAGGCUAUGUAUUUCUCUACUUCAAUAAACAUAUAUCCAGGGACACAAAACUGUUGAAAUACAAUGACACGCCAGUUCAAUACAAUACAACUUCUGGUGUCCGAAGUCCUGUAAGCUGCACAUGUUGUUGUCUCCCUCCAAUACCAGAGCUAUGAGGACCACAGCCAAGUACGAUCCUAGGACACGGGUGGAUGGGACACACACACUGGUUAUUUGUUAUUUGUAAUCAAAAUAAAUACACUGACUUGUAUAAAAACAUAAAUAUAUUGGAAACUAAAC